rnacentral:rRNA from 1 species
UACGAAGGGUGCAAGCGUUACUCGGAAUUACUGGGCGUAAAGCGUGCGUAGGUGGUGAGUUAAGUCAGGGGUGAAAUCCCGAGGCUCAACCUCGGAACUGCCUUUGAUACUGGAGGUCUCGAGUCCGGGAGAGGUGAGUGGAACUGCGAGUGUAGAGGUGAAAUUCGUAGAUAUUCGCAAGAACACCAGUGGCGAAGGCGGCUCACUGGCCCGAUACUGACGCUGAGGCACGAAAGCGUGGGGAGCAAACAGG